rnacentral:lncRNA from 1 species
AUGUAUUCUUUGCUUUACUCCUAUUUUGAGGUUCUUGACCUCAUUGUCUUCUUUGACUUGCAACUUUUGCUAUAUCUUCUGCUCUUAUAGACUUUAACAUCAUAUUCGUGUGUUAUAGCUAGAUUUUUGCAUAAAUUACCGGUGCUUGAGUUUAUAGAUUGCUCAUAAUUUAGCAUUUGGGCUCUAAGACCUUGUUUUCUGCUUGUGAUUUAGCAUUUUAGCAUUUCUUUUUGUAUUUCAUAUCCAUAAUUUUGCUGUUUAGAGAAAGAAUUUGGGUGAUAUUUUCUGGCAUGAUUUCUUUCUUUGGUUAUGUGGCUGUGUGGGUAAAGGCGACUCCCACCUUGAGUCCCUCGAUUGUCAUGAUUUGUGUUAAAAGUUCUUAGGUAGGUUUUGGUUAAACUUACAUGGGGUGAACCCAUGUGAUCCAUAAUUUUGCUGUUUAGAGAAAGAAUUUGGGUGAUAUUUUCUGGCAUGAUUUCUUUCUUUGGUUAUGUGGCUGUGUGGGUAAAGGCGACUCCCACCUUGAGUCCCUCGAUUGUCAUGAUUUGUGUUAAAAGUUCUUAGGUAGGUUUUGGUUAAACUUACAUGGGGUGAACCCAUGUGACUUGGUCCAUGAUGGAUCCGGUCCAGGCAAAGAAAAUCUACAGACCCAUGAGUCACGUGGUCUACUGAAGUCUUGUGCACUUGAUUAGGUAGAGAAUACCUUGAGUCCCUCGAUUGUCAUGAUUUGUGUUAAAAGUUCUUAGGUAGGUUUUGGUUAAACUUACAUGGGGUGAACCCAUGUGACUUGGUCCAUGAUGGAUCCGGUCCAGGCAAAGAAAAUCUACAGACCCAUGAGUCACGCGGUCUACUUAAGUCUUGUGCACUUGAUUAGGUAGAGAAUACCUUGAGUCCCUCGAUUGUCAUGAUUUGUGUUAAAAGUUCUUAGGUAGGUUUUGGUUAAACUUACAUGGGGUGAACCCAUGUGACUUGGUCCAUGAUGGAUCCGGUCCAGGCAAAGAAAAUCUACAGACCCAUGAGUCACGUGGUCUACUGAAGUCUUGUGCACUUGAUUAGGUAGAGAAUGAAUGAGUGUAUCAAGCUCAAAGUCAUUAAAUCUAUUUAUUUGUAUUAAAUUUUGUCAAAGGGUAAUGUCAUUGAUUGCAUCCAGUCAUGGAUCAUCUAUAUUGAGUGACAAAUAAUCUUGAGCUCAUCUGAUACAGAGGAUCCAUAAUGUGAAGGUUUUUCUUGCCUUUACCUUUGCUUCUCUCGCUCAAUCUUAGUUUCUGUCCAGAUCUCCGAUUUAAGUAAAAGGAAUUUUGUUGGUUCUACUCGAGCAUGUACGAAAUUUGGAAGCUAAGAUUUGUUUGCAAAACAUGGUAUUUUGCUCUAACUAAAAACUCUCCGAAACUGGUUGCAGAUU